ensembl:snoRNA
GUGGCCCUGACUGAGCAGUUAUUCUGUAGCUGUUGGUUUCAAACAGAGGCCUCAAGGACUGUCUCCUAUGGUCUGUCCCCUGUUCUAGAAUCUCAGUGGAGAACAGCUAUUUCAUGUGGAAGAAACAACC